rnacentral:misc_RNA from 1 species
UGGUUUGUGGCCAGCUUGAAUUC